UGGUGAUCAAAAUCCAAGACGUAUGUACGUACGUUUGUUCCUGACACAAAAAUGAAUCAUUUCAAGAUAUACAUGUAAUAUUCAAUGGCGCAAGAAAUACGUACAAUCAAGAAUUAAAUAAAAUAUCUAAAUUAAUACACAUAAACGUCGAAGAAAUCCAUAGAUAAGAUGGAAAUAAUGGAACGUCUCGGGAAGUUACUUCCGUUAACCAAUUCGGGCACUGUCGAUCUGAUCUGGUCCAUAGCGAUCAUUGUACUUGCGAUCAUAAUAUUUUUCACUUUGAGGAAAAAUUAAUAAAUUUGAGAAGAUUACUUCGAUUUACAUGCAGCGUUGUUCGGAAAAAAUUAUCAGGUCAAGAUGCAAAUGAUGAUACUCACCAGAUGACACGAUGACGCAGCUGCACAAA